rnacentral:tRNA from 2 species
GCAGAGAUGUCCGAGCUGGCCGAAGGAGCACGAUUGGAAAUCGUGUGUACGGCUAAAACCGUACCAAGGGUUCGAAUCCCUUUCUCUGCGCCA